UUUCCAGGAGAUACGUCACUCUAACUACGACCCAGGGGCAAGCGGGAAAUGCAAAUAAUAUUUGUAGCUAGAAUUCAUUCGCUAGCUAAACUCAAAGUGCAGGUCAAAAAAGAGAAGGGAAUGAGAUAAUAGAAUUUAGGGUGUAGAAGGGGAGCACGACCAACGAACCCCCAUCACACAGUCGAGAGUUUGGGUGGCACCAACCCCAGUACAGCCCCCAAAAUCACAACCAGCACCAGGACAUCAGACAGAGCAGAUGAGCCCUUCAGUCCAUACAGACAAGGACAGUUCAUGAAGAAACACAAGGUCUACACAUGAGAAAGAGCUGUUUCACUGUCACCUAAAAUCCAUUUGAACAAAUCAUUUUAAUUUUGGUAUUUUAAUUUAUAUGUUGAGUAUAUAGGAAUCUCUUGUUGCUGCUAAAUGCAAAUAAAUAUUUGCAUGUGUA